GUACACGCUGUGACUAGCAUAUCAAUAAGCGGAGGAAAAGAAACUAACAAGGAUUCCCCUAGUAACGGCGAGUGAAGCGGGAAGAGCUCAAAUUUGAAAUCUUAAAGGGUUUCCCUUUACGAAUUGCAGUUUAAAGAAGUGUUUUCUGUUGAGGUUUUGGUAAAAGUUCUUUGGAAUAGGACAUCAUAGAGGGUGAGAAUCCCGUAUUUGACCUUUACUUUCAACUUUGUGAUACACUUUCAAAGAGUCGGAUUGUUUGGGAAUGCAGUCCAAAAUGGGUGGUAAAUUUCAUCUAAAGCUAAAUAUUGGCGAGAGACCGAUAGCGAACAAGUACCGUGAGGGAAAGAUGAAGAGAACUUUGAAAAGAGAGUUAAACAGUACGUGAAAUUGUCAAAAGGGAAGCGUUUGACACCAGUGUUGUUUUUCUGAAAAUCAAUCAAAGAACUGUUUAUGCUAAGUUGUUUAGACUUUAUCAGCUAACUGUUUAGUUUUGAGCUUUUCUUUAAUGCACUUUUCAGUUAGCAAGUCAACAUCAAUUUCUUUUGCUGUAAAAAAGCUUGAGGAAGGUGGCUUGAGAUUCGUCUUAAGUGUUUAUAGCCUCUUGCCUAUGCAGUCGGAGAGAUUGAGGUCUGCAGCGUAGAUCCUUCGGGGCUAAAUGCAUUUGUGCUAAGUUAUAGCAUUUUAUAGACAACUUAGUUGACUAUGAUUUGUCUUGUAGCUUACUCGCUUAUGUUAUUUUACCUACGCUUAGGAUGUUGAGUCGUAGAGCACGCAG
rnacentral:rRNA from 1 species